CGUACACUCCUACGGGAGGCAGCAGUGGGGAAUAUUGGACAAUGGGCGCAAGCCUGAUCCAGCCAUGCCGCGUGAGUGAUGAAGGCCCUAGGGUUGUAAAGCUCUUUCACCGGUGAAGAUAAUGACGGUAACCGGAGAAGAAGCCCCGGCUAACUUCGUGCCAGCAGCCGCGGUAAUACGAAGGGGGCUAGCGUUGUUCGGAUUUACUGGGCGUAAAGCGCACGUAGGCGGACUAUUAAGUCAGGGGUGAAAUCCCGGGGCUCAACCCCGGAACUGCCUUUGAUACUGGUAGUCUUGAGUUCGAGAGAGGUGAGUGGAAUUCCGAGUGUAGAGGUGAAAUUCGUAGAUAUUCGGAGGAACACCAGUGGCGAAGGCGGCUCACUGGCUCGAUACUGACGCUGAGGUGCGAAAGCGUGGGGAGCAAACAGGAUUAGAAACCCGAGUAGUCCCAU
rnacentral:rRNA from 1 species